rnacentral:misc_RNA from 1 species
UUUCCGUAGGUGAACCUGCGGAAGGAUCAUUAAAGAAUCGCCCCGUUUUUUAUAAAUGGGUUCUAUUCCCAAACCGUGUAUACAUACCUUUGUUGCUUUGGCAGGCCGCCUCCGGGCGUCGGCUCCGGCUGAUAGUGCCUGCCAGAGGACCCAAACUCUGUGUUUAGUGAUGUCUGAGUACUAUAUGAUAGUUAAAACUUUCAACAACGGAUCUCUUGGUUCUG